CCGGCGACCGGCGGACGGGUGCGUAACGCGUAUGUAACCUACCUUUGACAGGGGGAUAACAUCGAGAAAUUGGUACUAAUACCCCAUAACAUCACCGGAGGCAUCUUCGGUGGUUGAAAACUCAGGUGGUCAGAGAUGGACAUGCGUUGUAUUAGCUAGUUGGUGAGGUAACGGCUCACCAAGGCGACGAUACAGUAGGGGGACUGAGAGGUCAACCCCCCACAUUGGUACUGAGACACGGACCAAACUCCUACGGGAGGCAGCAG
rnacentral:rRNA from 1 species